rnacentral:tRNA from 1 species
GGGAGUGUGGCUCAGUGGUAGAGUGCUUGCUUAGCAUGCAUGAGGCCUUAGGUUCAAUUCCUCAGUACCA